rnacentral:rRNA from 1 species
AGAGUUUGAUCAUGGCUCAGAACGAACGCUGGCGGCAUGCUUAACACAUGCAAGUCGAACGAGACCUUCGGGUCUAGUGGCGCACGGGUGCGUAACGCGUGGGAAUCUGCCCUUUGCUACGGAAUAACUCAGAGAAAUUUGUGCUAAUACCGUAUAAUGUCGUAAGACCAAAGAUUUAUCGGCAAAGGAUGAGCCCGCGUAAGAUUAGCUUGUUGGUGAGGUAAAGGCUCACCAAGGCGACGAUCUUUAGCUGGUCUGAGAGGAUGAUCAGCCACACUGGGACUGAGACACGGCCCAGGCUCCUACGGGAGGCAGCAGUGGGGAAUAUUGGACAAUGGGCGAAAGCCUGAUCCAGCAAUGCCGCGUGAGUGAUGAAGGCCUUAGGGUUGUAAAGCUCUUUUACCAGGGAUGAUAAUGACAGUACCUGGAGAAUAAGCUCCGGCUAACUCCGUG